UACGAAGGGGGCUAGCGUUGCUCGGAAUUACUGGGCGUAAAGCGCACGUAGGCGGCUCUUUAAGUCGGGGGUGAAAUCCCGAGGCUCAACCUCGGAACUGCCUUCGAUACUGAUGAUCUUGAGUCCGGGAGAGGUGAGUGGAACUGCGAGUGUAGAGGUGAAAUUCGUAGAUAUUCGCAAGAACACCAGUGGCGAAGGCGGCUCACUGGCCCGGUACUGACGCUGAGAUACGAAAGCGUGGGGAGCAAACAGGG
rnacentral:rRNA from 1 species